UUAUGGUCAAACCACACUGAAAAUACCAGUUCUUGUUUGAUUACUGAGGUUAAGCAGUGUUGAGCCCUGUUAGUACUUAGAUGGGAGACCACUUGGGAACACCAAGUACUGUAAG